rnacentral:rRNA from 1 species
AGUGAACGCUGGCGGUAGGCCUAACACAUGCAAGUCGAACGGCAGCACAGUAAGAGCUUGCUCUUACGGGUGGCGAGUGGCGGACGGGUGAGGAAUACAUCGGAAUCUACUUUUUCGUGGGGGAUAACGUAGGGAAACUUACGCUAAUACCGCAUACGACCUACGGGUGAAAGCAGGGGAUCUUCGGACCUUGCGCGAUUGAAUGAGCCGAUGUCGGAUUAGCUAGUUGGCGGGGUAAAGGCCCACCAAGGCGACGAUCCGUAGCUGGUCUGAGAGGAUGGUAGGCCGCACUGGAGCGGAGACACGGUCCAGGCUCCUAAGGGAGGCAGCAGUGUGGAAUAUUGGACAAUGGGCGCAAGCCUGAUCCAGCCAUACCGCGUGGGUGAAGAAGGCCUUCGGGUUGUAAAGCCCUUUUGUUGGGAGAGAAAAGCAGCAGGUUAAUACCCCGCUGUUCUGACGGUACCCAAAGAAUAAGCACCGGCUAACUUCGUG